rnacentral:tRNA from 1 species
GUCCUAGUAGUAUAACCUAAUACUUUGGCCUUGUAAACCAAAAAUGAGGGCUUCCCCCUCCUAAGACA